rnacentral:rRNA from 1 species
CAGUAGCCGCGGGAAAACGAGGGGGGCAAGCGUUGUUCGGAAUUAUUGGGCGUAAAGGGCGCGUAGGCGGUUUGACAAGUUUGGUGUGAAAUCUAUGGGCUCAACCCAUAGCCUGCAUCGAAAACUGUCGGGCUUGAGUAUGGGAGAGGUGAGUGGAAUUUCCGGUGUAGCAGUGAAAUGCGUAGAGAUCGGAAGGAACAUCUGUGGCGAAGGCGACUAUCUGGGCCAACACUGACACUGAGGCACGAAAGCGUGGGGAGCAAACAGGAUUAGAGACCCCCGUAGUCCCUGUCUCUUAUAC